AAAUGAAACAAGAAUGUAAAAUGAAUUCAAGAUAUGAUAAAAUCAGCUCCAUUUGUCAACAAAACAGAAAGCUUUACAUACAGCUCUUCCAAGCAAUUCAGCUCUCUCUUUCGCUUCCAACAACCGUUUCUGAUUCCUCAUAGAGUACUU